rnacentral:piRNA from 1 species
GCUGAGCAUGGAGUGGGAGCCAC